UCUCCUGUAGCUCAGUGGUAGAGCAUCCGACCAGUGUGCAGGAGGUCAUUGGCUCGACUCUUGUAGGGAGAA